GCUUAGAGAGGGGUCAAUGUCCUAUCAGCUAGUUGGUAGGGUAAUGGCCUACCAAGGCUAAGACGGGUAGCCGGCCUGAGAGGGUGGUUGGCCACACUGGGACUGAGACACUGCCCAGACUCCUACGGGAGGCUGCAGUCGAGAAUCUUUCGCAAUGCCCGAAAGGGUGACGAAGCGACGCCGCGUGUGGGAAGAAGGCCUUCGGGUUGUAAACCACUGUCGGGAGUUAAGAAAUGCAAGGGUGUUAAUAGCAUCCUUGCUUGACUAAGGCUCCGGAGGAAGCCACGGCUAACUCUGUGCCAGCAGCCGCGGUAAUACAGAGGCGGCAAGCGUUGUUCGGAAUUAUUGGGCGUAAAGAGCACGUAGGCGGCUUUGUAAGUCAGUUGAGAAAGCCUUCUGCUCAACGGAAGAACAGCAUCUGAUACUGCAAGGCUAGAGUGCGGAAGGG
rnacentral:rRNA from 1 species